rnacentral:rRNA from 1 species
GGGGAAUUGUUCGCAAUGGGCGCAAGCCUGACGACGCAACGCCGCGUGGAGGACGAAGAUCUUCGGGUCGUAAACUCCUGUCGAGCGGGACGAACACCCAUCCGGUGAAUAUCCGGGAGGGCUGACGGUACCGCUAAAGGAAGCCCCGGCUACCUCCGUGCCAGCAGCCGCGGUAAUACGUAGGGGGCAAGCGUUGUCCGGAUUUAUUGGGCGUAAAGAGCGUGUAGGCGGCUUCACAGGUCCGCUGUGAAAACUCGAGGCUCAACCUCGAGCUGUCGGUGGAAACCGUGUGGCUAGAGUCCGGAAGAGGAGAGUGGAAUUCCCGGUGUAGCGGUGAAAUGCGCAGAUAUCGGGAAGAACACCCGUGGCUAAGGCGGCUCUCUAGUACGGUACUGACGCUGAGACGCGAAAGCGUGGGGAGCGAAC